rnacentral:misc_RNA from 1 species
GAUGAAGAACGUAGCGAACGUGCGAAACGUAAUGUGAAUUGCAGAAUUCAGUGAAUCAUCGAAUCUUUGAACGCAUCUUGCGCUCCUUGGUAUUCCGAGGAGCAUGCCUGUUUGAGUGUCGUGAAAUACUCUCAAUUUCAAUCUUUUUGUUUGAAAUUGGAUUUGGAUGUUGUUGUGGAUCUUGCUACGACUCAUCCUAAAUGCAUUAGCGAUCUGCCUUGAUCACACACAAUGUGAUAAGAUGAGCAUUGUUAUAAUCAAGUCAUGACUGCUUCUAACCGUCCCUUUGGGACAAACGUCUUAUGUCGUUUGACCUCAAAUCAGGUAGGACUACCCGCUGAACUUAAGCAUAUCAAUAAGCGGAGGA